CACGUAGGCACCAAGCGUUGUCCGGAUUUAUUGGGCGUAAAGAGCUCGUAGGCGGUUCGGUAAGUCGGGUGUGAAAACUCUGGGCUCAACCCAGAGCCGCCACCUGAUACUGCUGUGACUAGAGUGCGGUAGGGGAGCGGGGAAUUCCUGGUGUAGCGGUGAAAUGCGCAGAUAUCAAGAGGAACACCAGUGGCGAAGGCGAGUCCCUGGACGAUACCUGACACUGAGGCACGAAAGCCAAGGGAGCAAACAGG
rnacentral:rRNA from 1 species